UCUUAAUUAUUUUUAUAAAGAUUAUUUAUUUGUAAUUUUAAUUUAUAUUAAUAAUUUUAUUGGGGUGAUAAAAAAAUUUUAUAAACUUUUUAUAUUUAUACAAAUAUUUUUGGAUUUUUGAUUUAGAAUUUUUAAUUAAAAGAAAAGU
rnacentral:rRNA from 1 species